ensembl:lncRNA
GCGACUUGUGCGGAUCACUUUUUCUUACUGUGCACUGGGGGCAAAUCCUCAAACGUGAACCUGAUCACUUGUCACAGAAGCAACUUGCCAUGAAAUCCGCUAAUGCGCCGCGACUCGCCCACCCGGAUAGAUAACCCCCGCAGUGGUGUAACCAGCGCGCGCGCCCAAAGCCGUCUUGUCCCUCGAAUGCGCUCACCGCCGGCAACACUUGGAGAAUCCAGCCCACAGUGGUUUCGAAAACCCCAUUUUCCUGAUUGCAGCUCAGACUGUGGAACCCCGAGAGCCUCCCCAAAGAGGGAGCGUGAAUCGGGCCAAGUAGUGGGUCGGGGACACACACGCACGCACGCACGCAUAUGCACACAGAGGCAGAGCAGUGCUUCAUAGGACCUAAGAUCCAGGGUGGCUGGAAAGGGAUCUGGGAGGCCACGUCUGAAGGAGCCAGCAAGGCCCUGGUGCUGCCUCUGCCAGAGUCGUGCAGCCACUGAAGCAGCCUGAUCCUGAUAGUUAUUUUGGGGGGAAAAACACCUGGAACCCAGGUUUGAGCUAAAGAAAGUAAGGGCAAGUGACAGAUGAUCAAGCAUUUCUUUGAAAUGAGGAAGAACUGAGAACUACCCAGCUGGCCUGGCCUUAGGGCAAACUGGACCUUAGGAAACUACUCUCUUCGCACACACAGCAGCACACAUCCUCCGAUGGCAAGUUCACCGGUGCCCAGCAAGGGCCACUGCACCUCCUAACUGCUUUUUCAGCCUCCUCCAGGUUUUGCCAGGCAAAUGAAACAAGAACUCAAUAGUAAAUUAUUUUGUUCAGACUUCUGUCUUUUUAUGAAAAUAAAAGGCAACACUUUGUCAUUUUUAAUCAUAUAAGCAGACAAUAAACCUAAUCUUGAUAUUGAUUUUUCCAGAAUCAAGUGAUUUUGUGCAGUGUCUGUUUUAUUUCCUUUCUGAGGAAGAGCUGUUUGUUGGUAGAUGGUGUGGCUCUAAGACUGCACUCCAGUGGGCAGGUGCUUAUCUGAAACAUGUAGCUGAUUGUGGACUUUGAAGCGAGAUAGCUAAAAUGGGGUUCUGCCUGGGUGGCAGGAAGUUUGGUUUUUGUCUAGUUAUUGAGAUAAUGGUUUCAACCUCUGGUGCACUAGGAUAGAUUUAAGACUCAGCUAGUGCUUUUAGAAGUUAUGGCCUCAG